GCGGGCCGGGCCGGGCCGAGCAGGCCGCGGCCUCGGCUCCGAGCAGGCCCUUGCGCGGCUGCCACGUACCGCCGCGGCCCCGGCUUCCCCCCAGGCCUCGCACGGGCACGCGAGCAGCAGGCACGGAGCUGCGACGGCUGGACGUGCGGCCAGCCCGACCUCCCCCGGUCGGGCCGGCAGCCCGGUUUGCUUGGGCUUCCGUGCGGGCAGGGCCAGGACCUGCGAGCGCCCUGACAGGGAGGGGGGGAACGCGGUGGGUGCCGCUCGCCCUGCCCCAUCCAGCUCCCGUCCCUCCGCAGAAUCCUGCUGCACAGAAACAGUAGCUGGGGGUGUGGGGACAGCUCUAGACUAAAAUAGCUGUGAGGCAGCCUGUGUGAUCGCACGGAUAAGUGGUGACCUUAGGCCCGAGGAGGUGUGGCAUCCGUUCACAGCUUUGUUUCUGACUGGUUAAUAUAAACUGAAUCCUGCUAAUUCACACUUAGUCUUUGCAUUUCUUACAGUGGGUUAAUGAUAAUAUUUGUCUUCCCUUAAUGUUUAUUAAUAACCAAAGACUGAGGUACAUUUACUAAGUCAUUUUACUAGUCUGAUCGGUUGUUUGUUUUUUAGUCACCAUCACUGCCAUUUAAAUAACAAUGGAAAAUUGAUUCUCUAUUGCUUGUGCAUCAUGAUCCACGUGACUUCAUGACUUUGAAGUGGGCUGGACUGGCUGGUUUCUUGAAAUCUAGUUUUUUGUGGUGCCUACCUGACCCCUGCACCUUCUUCUCCAACAAACGAAGCUGAACUGUGGUUUCUAUCAGCAUGUCCAUCAGCAGCUCAAGCUGCAGCUUCAGGACUGUGGCCUAUCGUAAAGGAAAUGCUUGCAGACAACGGCCUGCUCUUACUAACCUGUCGGAAACACCCUGUGCCUCCAUCCGCAGCUGUGUCUCUUGUGCGACAGUGCAGAGUUCAAUCCAAACGUGAUGCUGUCAACCCCUGAUAUGUCACUGGUCAGCCACAGUCACAUUUUUCACCCCAGGCCACCUUUGUCAGUACUUCACUGACCUCUCUCAGUCUCUUCAGCGUGGAUCUGGUGGUUGCCCCUGUGCUCUCUCCAAACAGGUCUGUAUGGCUCUGUGUUUAUUCAGAUCAGUGGGGUUCUGGCUCUUGCUGCCCAUAAUGUUCUUCACAAUUUUGGCAUUGAUAAAUGCAUAAUUCAAAAUGAUCAAACAGGCAAACACAAAAAUGCUGUUAUGGUGAGAGUAAGACUUUGCAGACUCAGCAGAUAAAAUGGGUCACAACAGUGAUUAUUUCUGUUAUUCAACUCCGGUGAAGUAUACUUUCUUUUUUCUUGCCCUUGAAGUCACUUGAAUGUAAACAAGUAAAAAUAAAGCUGAUAUCAAAAUUAGGAUGAGGAAAGGAGAAAUGAAAGGAAAGCUUCCUUCAAUACUUGCUCCAAAAAUGAACUUCCUCAUAGUUUCAAUAGGCUGGCUCCUGCAAGCUUUGAUCCUGGAGCCACUGUGGAAAUAAAGACCCAUUGAGAAGUCUGGCUACAAAUUAGCAUUUGAAUUCCCUUGUAAUUUGUUGUCAGAUGGGCAGGAGGUGGGUGCUAGUCUUGGUCUCUCAGCACUGAUACACAAAAGUGGCUUUAAAAAGUUAAAAAGACCUUGUUUUUCUGACGGAAAGAAGUGCG